rnacentral:lncRNA from 1 species
UCCACCUCCCGGAGCACCGUCUUCAGCCCUUGCCCACCGCCGUUAGCCAUCGGGUGUAUCCCGUGUGACGGCCCCUCCAUGUAAGCCCUAUUCUCCCUCUCCUUCGCAAACGACACGUUAUAACGCUUCUCCACAUCUGCCAUGCGUGCAUCAAAAAUAUUACAAUAAUUACUCAACAACUAAUUAGGGGUGGAAAUUAGACAAAUCAGAACCGAAUAAGUUGAUUUGCGAAAGAUUCCUAUUUUUCUUUUUCUAAAACUAAUCCGUUUAUGCUCCAAAGUAAUUGGGAGAAUCAGAAAUUGUAAUCCGGAAAUUGGAAUAAAAAACAAAUCAUUCCAGAAUCAGUCAGUAAUUUUUGAUUCUUUUAUGUUCUAAAAAAUAAAAUGCACAAUAAUAUUUUAGGAAUUAUUUUCAAAAAUUUUGUUCCAAUUUCCAGAACCGCUGAUAAUAUAUAGGAUAAAUUAAGAGAAACCCCCCAACUUAGACCGACUAAAUAACGAAAAACAUCCCACCUAUCCAUAUUUACCAAAAACCCCUGAGGUUUGUUUAUGGUGCAAACCAGCCCUUACGGUAUGACUUUUCACGGAUUUUUUUUAUUCGAGGGAAUAGACUUUCCAUAAUUCAUAUAAUUCAUAAUUUAUGAAUUUCAGAUAUUUUCUUUUAUUUCUCGCCUAAGAUAUAAUAGACAUAACACAUUUUUGUUGAAAAACUCGAUCAACAGUUAAUGUUGAAAAAAAAUCUCGAUCAACAGUUAAUCAGAGGGAACGAGUAACGAGUCAAAACACAACAGUUAAUCAGAGGAAACGAGUAACGAGUCAAAACAGCUAAUCAAAGGAGGAUUUUGAUUAUUGCGAAUAGGUGGGGUUUUUUUGUUACUAAGCCUAAAUCCAGGGGUGUUUUCGUAAUUUAUCCUAAUGUAUAUAUGGAAAAAUUGAAAUAUGUAUAUAGAUUAAUUAAAUAAAAUAAAAUAAAAAUUAGACCUUGAGCAAGGUUGUCAUAAAGCUGGCCAUCUCUAGUAAGGGCCAUCAUAACCUGCGGUAUGCCAAGUGGCAGGCUAUCCCCCCUAUCCACCUGCCAGAAAUGGAUCACCUUCCCGUACGUUUUAACAACCUUGUCGAAAUCCUGGCGCUGGAUGGGGGCGGGCACCCCCGGCAUGAACAGCACGCCGCUCUUCACCUCGAACUCGUGCGAGUGCCAGAACCUCUUCUCGUCGUCGGGCAGAGUCAGGAAAAGCUCCUCCGAGACUAUGUACUCCAGCCCGAUCAGGCGGCCGUCGUCGUCGGGGCGGUCGUAGAUCAGGCACUGCCGGAACUCUUCGUUCUGGUGCGCGCAGAAGUGGUGCGCCUCCACCUGCCUCGUCAUAUCGUCCCCGUAGAAAUGGAAUCUGAUGAUCAUUGAGCAAAACUAAUUAAUAUAAUUGAUUUGAUUUAAUUUGGAGGAAUUUGAUUUUGAUUGUUUAAUUGAUUGAUUUAUUUGAUUGAUUACGCGCAGAGGUGCUGGUGGAUUUUGUUGACGGGGCCGAAGCCUUGGAUGGCGGCGGUUGCUUUCUCGAGGAGGGUGGUGGAUGUUUGAGUUGGCUCGCCGGGGAUUUUUGGGUGAGUCAAAACGUUCACUCCUUCCAUUUUUUUUAUUUUUUUUUCUUAUCGAUCGGAAUUUUUGAGAUUUUUUUUUUUAUUUUUAGUUGUGAUUGCGAUUUGGAGAAGAGGGGGCGUGUAUGUAUUAUGUGAUAUAUGGUGAUGAUAGCUGUGGUUUGGCGUGGUGGCAUGCAGAGUGGCGCGUGGCAGGACGCGUGGCACUUUGAUUUUAAACGUGGCGAAAGAGUUGUCUGAGUUUGGGGCGGCUUGCGGGGAGUGCUGCUGUAACGUUAUUUAAACUUGUUCUAUGAUUUUUUUUUUUUUUUUUUUUUUUAAUUCUAAAAGCUCCAACUCAAAAGUAUUGAAAUGGGUUAGCAAAUAUUUAUUUUGCAUUUAAUUAUUUUAUUUUCACAUUUCUCAAAAUGUAAUAGUUCCAAGCUAUCAAAUAGUUGUUAAAAAU